GUAACGUCCGCUCGCGGCUCAUCCCCGCUGCAGCUCACGUCACGGCCCACGGGAGGAUCACAGCCGGACGGCUCGAGACGCGGUCACGGAGAAUAACAGCCGAACACAGACAAACACGCAAAUUAUAUUUUUAAACCAGAGAGACGACCGACAGAGCAUCUUCCUCAUCUCUAACCGUCACUCGCGCCACAGAUCUGAAGCAAGAAUAUCCAUGUGAUGCUGAUCAAGUUUACUAAAUCCGCCGAAGCCCCGGUGAACAAAGGGCUGAGGACCGUUUAUAAUGGCUUUUUUGUUAACUUUAGUUAAAGUUUUACACUUUGUUAUGAAUUAUUUAAAAUUCAUACUAACAAAUUUUUGUCGUGCUUUUGAAAUCAAUGUUUUCAGAGCAAA